rnacentral:rRNA from 1 species
GCUCUGAACACUUAUAAGAGGUCCAGCCUGCCCAGUGACUCUGUUCAACGGCCGCGGUAUCCUAACCGUGCAAAGGUAGCGUAAUCACUUGUUCAUUAAAUGUGGACUAGUAUGAAUGGCAUUACGAAGGUUAUACUGUCUCCUUUUUCUAAUCAGUGAAACUAAUCUCCACGUGAAGAAGCGUGAAUUAAGCUAUAAGACGAGAAGACCCUAUGGAGCUUUAAACAAUAAAGCAUUUGUUAAACAUUCUAAACCCUUAGAUAUUUACUUCAUCGAACAAUGUGACUUUAAGUUUUUGGUUGGGGUGACCAUGGAGCAUAACACAACCUCCAUAUUGAAAGAAACAUCUUCUAAGCUAAGAGCUACACAUCUAAGCAUCAAUAUAUUGACACUCAUUGACCCAAUACAUUUGAGCAACGAACCAAGUUACCCUAGGGAUAACAGCGCAAUCCUCUUUGAGAGCCCCUAUCGACAAGUGGGUUUACGACCUCGAUGUUGGAUCAGGGUAUCCCAGUGGUGCAGCCGCUACUAAAGGUUCGUUUGUUCAACGAUCAAAACCCUACG